GGAGAAGGACAGACGAUCGCCGGCUCCUUUAGAGGGGCGGGAGGAAAGUCCGGGCUCCGCAGGGCAGGAUGGUCCUUAACGGGGACCGGGGGCGACCCCAGGGAAAGUGCCACAGAGAGAAGACCGCCUGCUAUCGCCUUGUGCGUUGGCAGGUAAGGGUGAAAGGGUGAGGUAAGAGCUCACCAGUGCCGGCGGCGACGUCGGCAGCUCGGUAAACCCCAUCCGGAGCAAGGCCUAAUAGAGGAGCGGUUGAGGACGGCCCGUCCGAGGCUCCCGGGUUGGCUGCUUGAGGCCGUCGGCAACGGCGGUCCUAGAGGAAUGAUCGUCACCCUGUCCCGGGUAACCGGGGGAGGGAACAGAACCCGGCUUACGACCUUCUCCGGCC
rnacentral:RNase_P_RNA from 3 species